rnacentral:sRNA from 1 species
GCUGGGGAUGCUGGCAAAUGCCUGUAAUCCCAGCAACUCAGGAGGCUGAGGCAGGAAGAUCACAGUUUUGAGGACAGCCUUGGCAAUUUAGUGAGACCCUGUCUCAA